rnacentral:tRNA from 1 species
UGUUAGGAUAAUUAUGCAUCAGAAGGCAUGUCCAGAUGCUUAUGAUUUUUUAGCAAUAAGCGCA